GACGAACGCUGGCGGCGUGCUUAACACAUGCAAGUCGAGCGCUGAAGCCUUUCGGGGUGGAUGAGCGGCGAACGGGUGAGUAACCACGUGGGUAAUCUGCCCUGCACUCUGGGAUAAGCCUGGGAAACUGGGUCUAAUACCGGAUAUGACCGUCCCUCGCAUGGGGGUGGGUGGAAAGUUCUGGCGGUGCAGGAUGAGCCCGCGGCCUAUCAGCUUGUUGGUGGGGUAGGUGGCCUACCAAGGCGACGACGGGUAGCCGGCCUGAGAGGGCGACCGGCCACACUGGGACUGAGACACGGCCCAGACUCCUACGGGAGGCAGCGAGUGGGGAAUAUUGCACAAUGGGCGAAAGCCUGAUGCAGCGACGCCGCGUGA
rnacentral:rRNA from 1 species